UACGGAGGGUGCAAGCGUUGUCCGGAUUUAUUGGGUUUAAAGGGUGCGUAGGUGGCCUUAUGAGUCAGCGGUGAAAGUCUGCAGCUUAACUGUAGAACUGCCAUUGAUACUGUAAGGCUUGAGUACUGAUGAGGUAGGCGGAAUUGAUAGUGUAGCGGUGAAAUGCAUAGAUAUUAUCAAGAACACCGAUUGCGAAGGCAGCUUACUAAGGAGUUACUGACACUGAGGCACGAAAGCGUGGGGAUCAAACAGG
rnacentral:rRNA from 1 species